UGCCGAAUUUUUGCUGCGUUUUUGGCUGUCAUAAUGACUUUUCCAGGAAAGAUAUUACUUCUCACCGCUUUCCUGACGCCGAGAAAAAUCCUGAGAUGUAUGCUGAAUGGAUAGAAAACAUAAACAAGAAUGCCGAAGUUAAGUUUAUCCCGACAAAGGGGAGUCGUAUUUGCUCUGAACAUUUCAGUGUUGAUAUGAUGCAACAGAUUGGAAAAAGAAAGAUGCUGCUUCCAGAUGCUGUACCUACCCUAUUUCAAAACUCUCAGGUAAUGCCAAAUGAGGAAGUUGUAGAGGUUGCAUCAAAAGAUAUGCCAGACAGCAAUAACUUGGAAUCUGAAUGUAGUCCUGGCAGAGAUUGUGUGAGUGUGGAUGAAUCUGUAUCUGAACAUGCUGUAAGUACAGACAAUUUGGGUGUAGAGAGUGUCACAGGAGAUACAAAUACUGGGUGUACUGGUAAUGUAAGUAUACAGGGUGUCAAUGAAGAGGUAAUUAAAUUAGUAGUCAAGGAAUAAAACGAAAGCUCUCAGAUGAUG